rnacentral:rRNA from 1 species
GACGAACCGUGCGAACGUUGUUCGGAUUCAUUGGGCGUAAAGGGUGCGUAGGCGGCGCGGUAAGUCGGGUGUGAAAUCUCGGAGCUUAACUCCGAAACUGCAUUCGAUACUGCCGUGCUUGAGGACUGGAGAGGAGACUGGAAUUUACGGUGUAGCGGUGAAAUGCGCAGAUAUCAGGAGGAACACCGGUGGCGAAGGCGGUUCUCUGGGCAUUACCUGACGCUGAGGAGCGAAAGUGUGGGGAGCGAACAGG